rnacentral:rRNA from 1 species
AACGAACGCUGGCGGCAGGCCUAACACAUGCAAGUCGAACGCCCUCUUCGGAGGGAGUGGCAGACGGGUGAGUAACGCGUGGGAAUCUACCUAGUGGUGGAGGAUAACUUCGGGAAACCGGAGCUAAUACUCCAUAAGCCCUUCGGGGGAAAGUGGGCUGUUUACAGCUCUUGCUAUUUGAUGAGCCUGCGUAAGAUUAGCUUGUUGGUGAGGUAAAGGCUCACCAAGGCGACGAUCUUUAGCUGUUCUGAGAGGAUGAUCAGCCACACUGGGACUGAGACACGGCCCAG